CUUAUAUCCUUGGUGACAGUCACCUUUGGAUGAUCACUCUGGACUGGCUACUUGAACUGGAUACAAUACAUUAAAGAGUUGCAGGGUGGUCACAGGCAUAGAGAGCAGAGAGAUGACCAAAGAAUAGGGUCACAGAAGAAGCAGCCCCACAGGGGAGGAGACAAAGAUUGCCACUUUGCAUCAGCUGGCUCUGGGCGGCUCCUUUACCCUAGCUACUCGCCUGCCCCGUGGGUCUCUGCCCCAUGGGCCUCAGUAACGCCUGUCUCUGCCAAGUUGGGGUGGGUUUCCUCUGUUCAACGCCAAAUGUCCUGAGAUGACCCUGUUCAUAUGGACAAGCAGGAGACGGCAGAGCCAAAAUAAAUCGGCAAGUGUGCCAGUGGAGAAGGGGACACCACUGUCUCACCAGAAGUGGACGGCUCAGUAGGACCACAGCACUGAGAGCUCUUCUAAGGGUCAGUGGGCGAAUUUGUUGACGUGAAGGCCCUGACAAGGCCUGUGUAGCUCCCAGACAUUUGUGCCGAGUGCUCACAGGCGGAGUCAGAGAAGACGGCCCUGUCCUGUCUGCCAGCCCACGGGAAGCAGGACUUCCCACCCGAGCCUCCUGCUCCUCACCAGCAAAGUGCAGCCGCUCAGUCUGAGGUGGGUGCAGGUGGCUGAGACAGGACCACGGUACCUUGGCAGAGAAUGGGCCUGAGACCUGAGCACGGCGCCAGGCCCGGACCUCCGGCUCUUGCCUGAGCAAACAGUGUGUGAGGAAUCAUCACAGAAAGCCACCUUCAGGAAGACGAGCAGAGGCCUGCACGGCUCAGGCCAGUGGAAGCAUCCGGAGGGCAGCCUGGCCCAGGGCCUGGUGCCUCCAUGCAUGGGACCGUGACUCCCCUCAUGCACAGUGGACAAGUGAGUCCAUUUUGUUUGAUUUUUUGUGAGUGUUGUCAGUGCAUUCAGACCUGAGCCACUCAUUCUAAGGUAAAUCUCAAGAGGCCACAGCUCUCGGGACUUUGAGGACCCUCUUCCCAGGGGAUUCCCAAGCAUGUUCCCCUGAAGUUUACUGUGUGGAUAUGAGGAAGUCCCUGAUUCGAUGUGCUUGGGACGAGUCCCCAGGCUAAACAAGGCCUACUCAUUCAAGACAUUUUUAUUGAGCACCUAUUAUGUGCCACGUGCUCAGGAUAAAGCUACAAAGAAACAGACCCAGUCCC
rnacentral:lncRNA from 1 species